rnacentral:rRNA from 1 species
GACGAACGCUGGCGGCGUGCUUAACACAUGCAAGUCGAACGGUAAGGCCCUUUCGGGGGUACACGCGUGGCGAACGGGCGGGUAACACGCGCGUAACCUGCCCACAACUUUGGGAUAACGACAGCAAACUGGUGCUGAUAAUGGCGAUGUGCCGCUGCUGCAUGGUGGGGGUGGGAGGGCUGCGGCGGUUGUGGGGGGACGCGCGGCCUCUUAGCUUGUUGGUGGGGUAGUGGCCUACCAAGGCGGCGGCGGGUAGCCGGCCUGGGGGGGUGGCCGGCCCCCUUUGGGCCUGGGUUCGGCCCAGACCCCUUCGGGGGGCAGCAGGGGGGAAUAUUGCCAAAUGGGCGCGAGCCUGAUGCAGCAACGCCGCGUGCGGGAUUACGGCCUUCGGGUUGUAAACCGCUUUCAGCAGGGACGAAGCUUUUUGUGACGGUACCUGCAGAAGAAGCACCGGCUAACUACGUG